AAUUCGUGCAUUAGACACUUUCGUAGCAACUCCUUAAAACUCUCCUAAGCUUCAUAUAAAGUUUCUCCAUCUAACUUCUUGAAUAAAGUUAUAUCAUUUCUUAGCCU